rnacentral:tRNA from 1 species
GGGGCUGUGGCUCAAUGGUAGAGCGUUUGCCUAGCUCGCAUGGGACACUGAGUUCAAUCCUCAGCACCACA